GAGAUGUGGGCAGAGGGAAAGCAGCUUGGAGCCAGCUCUGGGGUUGGUGGUUGCAGCUAUGGAUGCUCUGCGCAGGAGCUGUGCUGUACCCCAGGACGGGCACGAAUUCCCCUUUAAGGAGAGAUAAAGCCAUGCAAAGUGCCAGCACUGCGUGAAUCCUUCCUUACAAAGAGAUGAAAACCAUCCCAAACAGGGCAAGCCAGGCUAGUAUAGAUCUCCAAUGAAAGCACUGUGCUGCUUUGGCCUUUGGGGUCUGAAGGUGGGCUUUGCUGAUUCAAUGAAGCUGAAAUUCCUUGCUUUUUCCCCUUGCAAAACAGA